rnacentral:rRNA from 1 species
AGUUGUAAUUUGUAGAGGAUGCUUUUGGUGAGGUGCCGCCCGAGUUCCCUGGAACGGGACGCCACAGAGGGUGAGAGCCCCGUCUGGCUGGCCGCCGAGCCUCUGUAAAGCUCCUUCGACGAGUCGAGUAGUUUGGGAAUGCUGCUCAAAAUGGGAGGUAUAUGUCUUCUAAAGCUAAAUAUUGGCCAGAGACCGAUAGCGCACAAGUAGAGUGAUCGAAAGAUGAAAAGCACCUUGAAAAGAGGGUUAAAUAGUACGUGAAAUUGUUGAAAGGGAAGCGCUUGUGACCAGACUUGGGCGCGGCGGAUCAUCCGGGGUUCUCUCCGGUGCACUUCGCCGCGUCUAGGCCAGCAUCAGUUCGUCGCGGGGGAAAAAGGCUUCGGGAACGUGGCUCCUCCGGGAGUGUUAUAGCCCGUUGCAUAAUACCCUGCGGUGGACUGAGGACCGCGCAUCUGCAAGGAUGCUGGCGUAAUGGUCACCAGCGACCCGUCUUGAAACACGGACCAAGGAGUCGUCUUCGUAUGCGAGUGUUCGGGUGUCAAACCCCUACGCGUAAUGAAAGUGAACGCA